ensembl:scaRNA
CAUCUCUGGCCCCCCUGCACUCUCAGGUAAGCCUGCAGUAUUUUCCUUGUAUGAUCAGGCCUUAUUGUAGGUGGUGCUGCUUGCCUAGUCUAAGACAAUUAUGAAACAUGGCAGGAAAAGUGGAGCCAGGAGACCUUUCAUG